rnacentral:rRNA from 1 species
UACGAAGGGUGCAAGCGUUACUCGGAAUCACUGGGCGUAAAGCGUGCGUAGGCGGUUCGUUAAGUCUGCUGUGAAAGCCCUGGGCUCAACCUGGGAACUGCAGUGGAUACUGGCGGACUAGAGUGUGAUAGAGGAUGGUGGAAUUCCCGGUGUAGCGGUGAAAUGCGUAGAGAUCGGGAGGAACACCAGUGGCGAAGGCGGCCAUCUGGAUCAACACUGACGCUGAGGCACGAAAGCUAGGGGAGCAAACAGG